GAUGAACGCUGGCGGCGUGCCUAAUACAUGCAAGUCGAGCGAACAGACGAGGAGCUUGCUCCUCUGACGUUAGCGGCGGACGGGUGAGUAACACGUGGAUAACCUACCUAUAAGACUGGGAUAACUUCGGGAAACCGGAGCUAAUACCGGAUAACAUGUUGAACCGCAUGGUUCAACAGUGAAAGACGGUCUUGCUGUCGCUUAUAGAUGGAUCCGCGCCGCAUUAGCUAGUUGGUAAGGUAACGGCUUACCAAGGCAACGAUGCGUAGCCGACCUGAGAGGGUGAUCGGCCACACUGGAACUUGGACACGGUCCAGACUCCUACGGGAGGCAGCAGUAGGGAAUCUUCCGCAAUGGGCGGAAGCCUGACGGAGCAACGCCGCGUGAGUGAAGAAGGUCUUCGGAUCGUAAAACUCUGUUAUUAGGGAAGAACAAAUGUGUAAGUAACUAUGCACGUCUUGACGGUACCUAAUCAGAAAGCCACGGCUAACUACGUG
rnacentral:rRNA from 1 species